rnacentral:rRNA from 1 species
UGCAGUCGAGCGGUAGGCCCUUCGGGGUACACGAGCGGCGAACGGGUGAGUAACACGUGAGCAACCUGCCCCUGACUCCGGGAUAAGCGGUGGAAACGCCGUCUAAUACCGGAUACGACCCGCCACCUCAUGGUGGAGGGUGGAAAGUUUUUCGGUCAGGGAUGGGCUCGCGGCCUAUCAGCUUGUUGGUGGGGUAACGGCCUACCAAGGCGAUUACGGGUAGCCGGCCUGAGAGGGCGACCGGCCACACUGGGACUGAGACACGGCCCAGACUCCUGCGGGAGGCAGCAGUGGGGAAUAUUGCGCAAUGGGCGAAAGCCUGACGCAGCGACGCCGCGUGGGGGAUGACGGCCUUCGGGUUGUAAACCUCUUUUACCACCAACGCAGGCUCCCAGUUCUCUGGGGGUUGACGGUAGGUGGGGAAUAAGGACCGGCUAACUACGUGCCAGCAGCCGCGGUAAUACGUAGGGUCCGAGCGUUGUCCGGAAUUAUUGGGCGUAAAGAGCUCGUAGGCGGCGUGUCGCGUCUGCUGUGAAAGACCGGGGCUUAACUCCGGUUCUGCAGUGGAUACGGGCAUGCUAGAGGUAGGUAGGGGAGACUGGAAUUCCUGGUGUAGCGGUGAAAUGCGCAGAUAUCAGGAGGAACACCGGUGGCGAAGGCGGGUCUCUGGGCCUUACCUGACGCUGAGGAGCGAAAGCAUGGGGANCGAACAGGAUUAGAUACCCUGGUAGUCCAUGCCGUAAACGUUGGGCGCUAGGUGUGGGGACUUUCCACGGUUUCCNCGCCGUAGCUNACGCAUUNAGCGCCCCGCCUGGGGGAGUACGGCCGCAAGGCUNAAAACUCNAAGGAAUUGACGGGGGCCCGCACAANNCGGCGNANCAUGUUGCUUAA